rnacentral:rRNA from 1 species
GUCUACGGCCAGACCACCGUCAAAGUACCUGAUCUCUUCUGAUCUCAGAAGAUUUUGAUAAAAGUGGAUUCUCAGAUAAAUACUUAACUUUUCAAAUACUUCCUAUGCUGUACAGU